UUGAACAGCUGCGGGCAACGCCCGAAAGGGCUUGUGCGAGGAAAGUCCGGGCUUCACAGAGCAAAAAUAACGGCUAACGGCCGCCGGAGGCGACUCCAGGGAUAGUGCAACAGAAAAUAACCGCCGGUUAUCGGUAAGGAUGGAAAGGUGAGGUAAGAGCUCACCGGAGGUCGGGAGACCGACCUGCCGUGUAAACCCUAUUUGAAGCAACACCGUGGUAGGACAAUAUACGCUUGCUCGGCGUGUCCUUAGGAGGUGGCAUCGAGCAGCUUCGGCAACGGGCUGCCAAGAUAGAUGGCUGUUCACGACAGAACCCGGCUUACAGACGCAGU
rnacentral:RNase_P_RNA from 1 species